ACUUGAAGGAAUGUAUAGCGNNNGCNNAGUUGCGUUUAACUAAGCGAAAGCUAAGUAGGUGCAAUAUUGACUAUGUCAAAUAAAGUUCUAGGUAGAAUUAUGAUGAUGACAUUGUCUAUCUAUGUGUCUUGACCAAAUUACGUGCCAGCAGUCGCGGUAACACGUAAAAGACUAGUGUUACUCAUCUUAAAUAGGUUUAAAGGGUACCUAGACGGCCAAUCAAGCCUAUCAAAAAGGUACUAAUAGGCUAGAGUUUAAUAUAAGGAGGCAUGAAAGUACUGAGAAUGUAGAGAGAUGAAAUUCUGUGAUACUAUAUAUGGCACUGGUAAAGGCGAAAGCAUCUUAUUAUGUAAAAACUGACGUUGAGGGACGAAGGCUGUGUGUAGCAAAAAGGAUUAGAUACCCAAGUAGUCUCAGCAGAAAAUGAUGAAUGUCAUAGGAUAGAUAAAUUUUGUACUAUAAAUGAAAGUGUAAACAUUCCACCUUAAGAGUAAUUUGGCAACAUUGGAACUGAAAUCAUUAGACCGUUUCUGAAACAAGUAGUGAAGUAUGUUGUUUAAUUUGAUGAUCCGCAAAAAACCUUACCACAAUUUGAAUAUAAAAAUUUUUAUACA
rnacentral:rRNA from 1 species